rnacentral:rRNA from 1 species
AGCGAACGCUGGCGGCAGGCCUAACACAUGCAAGUCGAACGGAUCCUUCGGGAUUAGUGGCGGACGGGUGAGUAAACCGUGGGAACGUGCCCUUUGGUUUGGAACAAAUCAGGGAAAAUCGAGCUAAUACCGGAUGUGCUCUUCGGGGGAAAGAUUUAUCGCCAUUGGAGCGGCCUGCGUCUGAUUAGCUAGUUGGUGAGGUAACGGCCCACCACGGCGACGAUCAGUAGCUGGGCUGAGAGGCUGAUCAGCCACACUGGGACUGAGCCACGGCCCAGACUCCUGCGGGAGGCAGCAGUGGGGAAUCUUGCGCAAUGGGCUAAAGCCUGACGCAGCCAUGCCGGUUGAAUGAUUAAGGUCGUAGGAUUGUAAAAUUCUUUCAGCGGGGACGAUAAUGACGGUACCCGCAGAAGAAGCUCCGGCUAACUUCGUG